GAUGAAGAACGCAGUGAAGUGCGAUAUGUAGUGUGAAUUGCAGAAUUCCGUGAAUCAUCGAAUCUUUGAACGCAUAUUGCACUCUCUGGUAUUCCGGAGAGUAUGCCUAUUUGAGGGUCAUGUGAAACAUACAUUCUAGAUUUCCUAGAACAAAAUGGGUCAUCCAGAUUUUAUUUCAUGGUUACCUAAAAUACAAGACAAGCUCAUUUUUUUGGGUUACGUGAUACUUGUUAUUCGUGACAUUCCGAGAAAUAUGUGGCGUGUUGUAAUUUUGCAAAAGCGAAUGGAAAUUCGUCUCUGCGAAAUAGAAAUUGAAUCUUGACCUCAAAUUAGGUAGGAGUACCCGCUGAACUUAAGCAUAUCAAUAAGCGGAGGA
rnacentral:misc_RNA from 1 species